AGCCUUUCAGCUUAGACAUCCCUCUUUGAAGGAGAGGAAGACCACAGUAAUGACCCCAGGGAUGUCUGGGGUUUGGGUUGACCAAGGACUGAGGGUCUCCCUGGGGGCACAUCAGCCCAGAGAGGGGCACAGGUGUCCUCUUCCUGACUGGCCUUGACCUCCCUCUCCUCCCCGCACUGCCUCAGUGGAGCCUGUCUCCCCCACCUGGCACUGCCCCCCAGCCCCACCCCAGGGCAUCCUCCCUGUCUGUUUCUCCCGUCCCUUUGCUGGUGGACUUUGUCCCCUCCCUCCCGCCCCAGUGCGCAGACAUGGCCUCUUCUGCUCAGUCAGACCCACACUUCCUGAGCUCCACUAGUUGCUCGCUGCAGGGGUGUGCCAGACACCUCACGGAGUCCAUGUCUUGCCGGCAAGACUGGUAAACCUGACUGCGCUCCUAUUUCUCUCUGGUACCUUCUCUGCAAAAGUGGGAUGGCUGGGGCUGAGGGCUUGCUCUAGUUGCCAGAUUUACCUCUGGAAAGGUUGCCUCCAAUUAUAUUCCCCACCCCACACCCCCAGCAAUGAGAGAGUUACUCUUCCCCCACCCUGUCACAACAAAGGGCUGUGAGCACUUGUUACCGUUUUGCGAGUCUGGUGGGUAAAAAAAAAAAAAA